AGAAAAGUAAUAAAAUUUGGGCUAAAGAGAAAUGUCUUAAUACCCAUAAAAUCAGCUGACACACUGUGUUCUGUCGUUUGGACAGAGCUGAAGUGCUGGUCCUGAUAAAAUCAGCAAUAAAACUCCAUCAGUUAAACGGGUCAAGAUUUCACAAGGUUUUUUGCUGCUAUGUUCUUCGGGUGCUUGUUCUACGUUUGAAACGGCUCAUAAUCCUCCCUGUUGUCCCUUUCUAUUCUUUCCAGAGCCACUGCAGACAGUCCCCAAAUGCGGAAACGCGCCUGCUGCGUGAGUGCAGGCGAAGAGAGCCACAGCUAGGCUUUAUCAGGACUACUUUCCUCUGAGACACGAGCAAACAGGUUGAGUUACUAUUAUGAUGCGUGUUACAUCCAUGCACAGUUCCUUAUGCAGAGAAAUAGCUGUGGCAGCUCCUUGACCCAAUCAGAUUACGGGCUAAAUUCCUAACAAUAUGGAAAUACGGCGCACCACCAGAAUCAGUUUUGUUGCUAUCCCAGUAGUUCAGCUCACAAGGAAGCACAGUGAAUUAUUUCAGCUUCUGUAGAAAUAUCAUUUCCACAGAAGCAUUCAUAGAACUGGGAUGAACUUUGGCACUGCAACUCUGAUAGGUUUCAAGCCAUUUACACUCUGCUGAUCCCAGACUAUUUUGGGGCCUGGAAGAGCCCCCCCCGUACGAUUCGGUAAUGCUGGGGACUCGUCAGGAUUGUAGCAGCCUCCCAGUGUGACUGUACAGACAGCAGCAGCGCUCAGUGGUACCUGUUUCAGUGUCUUUCAGUCCUCGAUACAUCUCUUCUACCACCUUCUCCAGCCCCAAAACGUCUCUUCCGUUCAGGCUUAUAAAGAUACGCUCCUGCAGAGACAGAGAUAUUAAAAGGGUUACCAAAAACACUGGGUAUGCUGUGCCAGAUCAGAAGUGUGGGAAGAUGGCUUUGAUGAUCCCCAAGGAAAGCAGAGCUGCGCUCUUCAUGUGGGAGAGGCGACUGUGGUGGUGGUGUUCUUCAGAACUGCAUAGAUUGUGAGACCAGAUGGAUCAUUCAGACUGACAGCUUGCUUGAUUAUGUACUGAACUUUUCAGCACUAACUGCAGACUGAAUUUCAACAGCAGCAGCUGAACAAGAGUAUUAUUAUUUUCAGAAAAGCAACCAACCUGGAUUAAACAUUUUCCAGGCAGGAGAAAUCCAUCAUGACCCUUGUUAAGUUGUUUUCAUGAUUAGAUACAGUUAAACACCAAUAACUUAACAUUCUACUGCAGAUUUUUGCAGCAAUGCUUGCAGACUUAAAUCUUUACCCGCCAGCUACAUGGUCCUUCUGUUACCGCAUACCACACAAGUGUCUGACAAGACCCUGAACCUGCGCUGUCUCUUCAAACCUGGCAAUAACGUGUCCUGUUACGAGCGUGGAGGAUGAGGAUGUAGCUGGGCUGAAACUCUUGAGGACAG
rnacentral:lncRNA from 1 species